GUGGGGAAUCUUCCGCAAUGGACGAAAGUCUGGCGGAGCAACGCCGCGUGAGUGAUGAAGGUCUUCGGAUUGUAAAGCUCUGUUAAUCGGGACGAAAGAGCCUAGUGUGAAUAAUGCUAGGAAGUGACGGUACCGGAAUAGAAAGCCACGGCUAACUACGUGCCAGCAGCCGCGGUAAUACGUAGGUGGCAAGCGUUGUCCGGAAUUAUUGGGCGUAAAGCGCGCGCAGGCGGAUCUGCCAGUCUGUCUUAAAAGUUCGGGGCUUAACCCCGUGAUGGGAUGGAAACUACAGAUCUAGAGUAUCGGAGAGGAAAGUGGAAUUCCUAGUGUAGCGGUGAAAUGCGUAGAUAUUAGGAAGAACACCAGUGGCGAAGGCGACUUUCUGGACGAAAACUGACGCUGAGGCGCGAAAGCCAGGGGAGCGAACGGGAUUAGAAACCCCAGUAGUCC
rnacentral:rRNA from 1 species